GAUGAACGCUGGCGGCGUGCCUAAUACAUGCAAGUCGAGCGAACAGACGAGGAGCUUGCUCCUCUGACGUUAGCGGCGGACGGGUGAGUAACACGUGGAUAACCUACCUAUAAGACUGGGAUAACUUCGGGAAACCGGUGCUAAUACCGGCUCAUAUAUUGAACCGCAUGGUUCAAUAGUGAAAGACGGUUUUGCUGUCACUUAUAGAUGGAUCCGCGCCGCAUUAGCUAGCUGGUAAGGUAACGGCUUACCAAGGCAACGAUGCGUAGCCGACCUGAGAGGGUGAUCAGCCACACUGGAACUGAGACACGGUCCAGACUCCUACGGGAGGCAGCAGUAGGGAAUCUUCCGCAAUGGGCGAAAGCCUGACGGAGCAACGCCGCGUGAGUGAUGAAGGUCUUCGGAUCGUAAAACUCUGUUAUUAGGGAAGAACAAAUGUGUAAGUAACUAUGCACGUCUUGACGGUACCUAAUCAGAAAGCCACGGCUAACUACGUG
rnacentral:rRNA from 1 species